AACUUUCGACAACGGAUCUCUUGGUUCUGGCAUCGAUGAAGAACACAGUGAAAUGCGAUAAGUAAUGUGAAUUGCAGAAUUCAGUGAAUCAUCAAUUCUUUGAACGCACAUUGCACCCUCUGGCAUUCCGGGGGGUAUGCCUGUUCGAGCGUCAUUACAACCCUCAAGCCUUGCUUGGUGUUGGGUGCGCCCUGUCACAGGGUGCACCUCAAAAUCAGUGGCGGUGCGGCCUGGCUUCAAUCGUAGUAACUCUUCUCGCUCCGGAGCCCAGGUGGCAUACCUGCCAACAAUCUCCAACACAUCAAAGGUUGACCUUGGAUCCGGUAGGGAUACCCGCUGAACUUAAGCAUAUCAAUAAGCGGAGGCU
rnacentral:misc_RNA from 1 species